rnacentral:rRNA from 1 species
GCCUACGGGGGGCAGCAUUAGGGAAUCUUCCACAAUGGGCGAAAGCGUGAUGGAGCAACGCCGCGUGGGUGAAGAAGGUCUUCGGAUCGUAAAACCCUGUUGUUAGAGAAGAAAGUGCGUGAGAGUAACUGUUCACGUUUCGACGGUAUCUAACCAGAAAGCCACGGCUAACUACGUGCCAGCAGCCGCGGUAAUACGUAGGUGGCAAGCGUUAUCCGGAUUUAUUGGGCGUAAAGGGAACGCAGGCGGUCUUUUAAGUCUGAUGUGAAAGCCUUCGGCUUAACCGGAGUAGUGCAUUGGAAACU